UCACAUUCCAUUUUCCCAUUCUUCACAAAUCACUGCUUUCAUCACACACAACUCCAUCACCACUCCACCACCAACUUUGAUAUCAGAGAAAUGACUGCUUAUGGUGCUGUGCUUUCUCUCAAGAAUACAAUUAACAACAUUCUCCGUUGUCCUCGUUUUAGCCUCGUUGGUCGCUCUCAACAAAUCAUCGAUGUCGUGCGCAACGAGUUGGAGCCAUUGAAAAAAAUUCUAGAAAAAUUGGACUACACUAGUCCAAGCAAAAGCAGGAAGAAGGUGAAUGCUUUGGAUGGAAGAAUCAAAGACGCAAUAUGGAAAUUCGAAGACUCAUUGGAAUCCCUUCUCACACAACAGAUUCCUUCCCAUUCCAGAGAUAGUCUCCAUUGAUCUGCAGAGUCUUGCUCAUUCCUUAAUCCAGACGCUCGAGGAUAUGCAGAAGGACUACACUCAUGAAGUGAAGAAUAUGCCUCAGGACGAACCUAUCUCCUCAAUAAUUGGUUUUCAUAGAAACAACUCAAACAUGAUUGGUUUAUCAGACCAAUUCCAACAUGUCAAAACCGAUUUUAUGCAAGGAUAUAUCGGCAAGAAGCGCGUGUACGCGCUUUAUGGAACAGCAGGCGUUGGGAAAACCACUCUCGCUAUGCAAAUCUAUCAAGAUCCGGAAAUCCAGAGCAAAUAUGAGCGUCGUGCAUGGGUCACUGUAGGCAGAGUGCCUCAACCGAUCAGUCAAAUUUCACGAGGCAUUCUUGCUCAACUGUGUGGAAUCUCUGAUCAAGGAGAUGAAGAAAUAGGUGACUGCUUGGAAGAAAGAUUGGUUGAUGGCAAGAAAUGUCUCGUUGUUUUGGACGAUGUCUGGGAGGAAAAAGUAUUCAAUUCCUUGUUAUCAAACAUGAAAAAUGAAUGCAUUCAUGUUUUGCUUACUGGUCGACAUCGAGGCUGGAUGUUAUCGUAUAACCUUUAUUGCUACGAGGUGCGGUUUUUGAACCAAGAAGAAAGUAUGCAUCUGCUAUGUGACAAGGUCUUCGGUGAAGAGAUUUUCCCUCCUCAACUCCAGAAAGCUGCUGCCAAAAUUGCCAAGCAUUGCGAAGGUCUCCCUCUCAUGAUAGUCGCUGUUGCUGACAUCCUAUCGAAAUCCGAGCAGAACAGAGACCCUGUCUACUGGAAUGAAGUGGCGGAAAGGAGAAAUUCAGUGUUCACGGAUGCCUAUAAUCAAAUAUCAAAGGUACUUUUCCCAAGUUACAACUACUUGCCUCAGGGUCUUAAAAUGCCUUUUCUAUUUAUGGGAGUUUUCCCUUCGGAUUAUGACACCCCCUAUUCCAAGAUUAUUAUGAAGCUCGCUGCUGCGGGGUUGUCGGAUGAUUGGGUAUGUUUGGGACUGCUAGGUUCCUUCUACAGUCUUGCUUUGUGCACCUUGAAGAGUGUGGAUAAAACUUCGAACGAGUUUACUGUUGAAGAGUAUAAAACUUGUCGUCUUCAUUCUUCAUGGCGGUACGUGUGUAGAGUAGAGGCUAGUAAGAACAAGUUUUAUCUUGUCUUAAAUAAGUUAAUUGAUGCUGAAGAUCUAAAAGAUCAACGAGGCUUGUGUCUCGAAAAUAACAUUCUAUUUGGCAUCAAAGAGUUUCGCAACUCAGUGACAUUGGAUUGUGCAUCCUCUUCACGUUCGCUCCUUUUCUAUGGUCCUUACCAACAAUAUCCAGUCUGUAUAGAUGUCGGUUUCGUGUUGCUAAGGGAGAUAGAUGCUCUCACACAACGUUUCUAUACUUUCCCAAUGGAAAUUUUGUCGCUAAUUCACCUAAAAUACCUUGCUCUAACUUGCAACGGAGAACUCCCUCCAACCAUAUCCAAACUUUUCAACCUCCGAGCCUUGAUUAUCCAUCCACAUCUGAACAUUAGGCGUCGUGAAGCCCCAUCAUAUGUACCGGUACAAAUAUGGGAUAUGCGAGAAUUAGAGCAUAUUGAGAUAUUGGGAAAGAGCCCUGUUGCUCCAUCUCAUGUUGCUUCUUUGGAAAAGCUCUCAACACUUGUUGGUGUGAAUGCUAGCAUUUGUACGGUCUUGAACCUCUCCAGAAGAAUUCCUAACAUAAAGAAAUUAGGGAUACGGAUCGAGUUAACGCCUUAUGAUGACCAUAACGACGUUUUGAGUUGCUUUGGUUGCAUUUCAACACUUAGAGGUUUGAAGACACUCAAAAUCAGUAUCGCAAAUCCCGUGGUCAAGCACGGUCAUGUUUUCCCGGUGACCCCCGGGUUACUGAAGUUGCCGCGUAAUUUGGAAAAGUUACACUUGAGUGGAAUGGGUUUUCCUUGGGAAUACAUGAAUGUCAUUGGCUCACUGCCAAGUCUUAAAGCACUCAAACUGCGAUCCUACGCAUUUCAAGGUUCGCGUUGGGAAACGCAGAAGGGAAGUUUUAGGAGUCUUGAGUUUCUUCUAAUUGAAGAGAGUGAUUUGGAGCAGUGGAAACCAGGAUAUGAAAGCUUCCCUAAGCUUACAUAUCUAAGCAUGAAGCAUUGCUACAAACUAAAAGAGAUUCAGAAGCCUGCUUCUCUGCAUUUAGAGGCAUUUAAGAUCAUAGAGAUUGAAUUGGAGGACUGCAAUCCUUUAACUUUGACGUGUGCCAGCCAAUUACAACCGGAUCGAUAUAAUAGGCUUCAAGUUAUCGGCUCUUCUUCUUUCUACGAGAAACCGACAACCGUCAAAUUUCAGAGCGAUGGAGACGAAUAUGCCGAUAUGGGAAGAUCCUUCUUUGCUCAUGCUGGUCCACAAGAAGAGGAUUACAAUGAAGAAAUUCUCAAUAUGAUGAAGGAGAUCAGCUCUUUGAGGCUUUGAAUCUGCUGCUGCAAAGUGAUAGUACUCAACUGAGAAUUUCAAGCGGAAGUCUUGGAGACUGCUGGAAAAUCGAAACGGCGGCGUUUCCACACUAGGUAGAGGAAGUCGGAUGUCGGAUGAGCUUCAGCAAUCAGCGGAAUGGGGAAGGAAACGGUGGACCACUUCUCAGUAGAGGUUUCACAUAAUCUUGAGGCAUCUCUCUGAAAUGAAGCUCUUUGAGUUGAGGGAUGUUGGCGAUGCCAAUUGGAUCUCUCAGCUUCGGACAUAGGAUUAUGGAGAGUUUCUGGAGGCCAGGUAAUGCUCCCUUGCCUGUCUUGAUCAUUUGAAGCUGU